CACAGGACAAGGAGUACGUGGGUUUUGCUGCCCUCCCCAACCAGCUGCACCGCAAGUCUGUCAAGAAGGGGUUUGACUUCACACUAAUGGUGGCAGGGGAGUCAGGCCUAGGGAAAUCCACCCUCAUCAACAGCCUCUUCCUCACCAACCUCUAUGAGGAUCGCCAGGUGCCAGAGGCCAGUGCUCGCUUGACACAGACCCUGGCCAUUGAGCGCCGGGGUGUAGAGAUCGAGGAAGGGGGUGUGAAGGUGAAGCUGACCCUUGUGGACACGCCUGGCUUUGGGGACUCAGUGGACUGCUCUGACUGCUGGUUUCCGGUGGUGAAAUUCAUCGAGGAGCAAUUUGAGCAGUACCUUAGGGAUGAGAGUGGCCUGAACCGGAAGAACAUCCAGGACUCCCGAGUCCACUGCUGCCUCUACUUCAUCUCACCCUUCGGCCGGGGGUCUGGUGGGGGGAUCCUGGGGGCUGGGGCAUUUAGGGAGGGCUGGGGGGUCUCUGCCCCCUGAGGCUGGACAAUGACCAAUCCCUGGGUGCAGGCUCCGGCCCCUAGAUGUGGCCUUCCUCCGGGCAGUACACGAGAAAGUCAACAUCAUCCCAGUCAUUGGCAAAGCGGAUGCCCUGAUGCCCCAGGAAACCCAGGCCCUCAAGCAGAAGAUCCGGGAUCAGUUGAAGGAAGAGGAGAUCCACAUCUACCAGUUCCCCGAAUGUGACUCUGAUGAAGAUGAAGACUUCAAGAGGCAGGAUGCAGAGAUGAAGGUGUGGGAAACAAAGAAGGAAGGCAGGCCGGGCACGGUGGCUCAUAUCUGUAAUCCCAGCACUUUGGGAGGCUGAGACGGGCGGAUACCCUGAGGUCAGAAGUUCGAGACCAGCCUGGGCAACAUGGCAAGACCCCCACCUCUACUAAAAAUACACAAAUUAGCCAGGAAAGCAUCCCUUUUGCAGUCGUGGGAUCAUGCGAGGUGGUGAAGGAUGGUGGGAACCGACCGGUGAGGGGACGCCGCUACUCCUGGGGGACCGUGGAGGUGGAGAACCCACAUCACUGCGAUUUCUUGAACCUGCGACGGAUGCUGGUGCAGACACACCUGCAGGACCUGAAAGAGGUGACGCACGAUCUGCUCUACGAGGGCUACCGGGCCCGCUGCCUACAGAGCCUGGCCCGGCCUGGGGCUCGCGAUCGAGCCAGCCGCAGUAAACUUUCCCGCCAGAGCGCCACGGAGAUCCCGCUGCCCAUGCUGCCUCUGGCGGACACCGAGAAGCUGAUCCGCGAGAAAGACGAAGAGCUGCGCCGCAUGCAAGAGAUGCUGGAGAAGAUGCAGGCCCAGAUGCAGCAGAGCCAGGCCCAGGGCGAGCAGUCAGACGCCCUCUGAGGCCACGCCCCGCCCGGCCUUACCUCGGCUCCGCCUUCAGUCGGCCUCUUGUCCAAUCCCCGCGCCCCACACUGCCCAGCGCCCCCCGGACCUCCGCGGGUGCCGCCCUCGCGCGGGCUAGGGGUAGGUUCUCCUCGCCUGGACCCGUAUCCCCGCCCCGGCGCUGGUCCCGCCCACCCAGACACCGCCCACUUCCAGGCCCGGGACCUGCACAGUCUCCGACUGCAUCACUGUCUUCCGGGGUUCCCC
rnacentral:sRNA from 1 species